AAGGGCGACGCACUCCUUCCUCAGCUCAAGGAAAAUGACCACCCCUAGUAUUCCACGUAAAACCACCCCAAAUAACAGUGUUCCUCAGGGGAGGAGUAGGGGGAAGGGGGUAAUCAGCAAAUCAGAUUGAGAAUAAUAAUUUUGAAAAUGUACCUGCAGUUCCCAGGAAAAACAAAGUCCAGAUGAGAUCCUUAGUUUGCAGCAUUGUAAUCUGCUGGCCGGGAGGGAUGUUCUUGCCGCGGUAAAUUCUCUGCCCCCCCUUGCCGUGAGUGUGGACGGCGGCAGAGCAAGAGAGCUAGGGGUAGACAAUUGCCAGGCUGAGUAUGAUUAUUUUUGCAGAAUUGUUUCCUGCCAGCCUCUGCCGAGCUGCGUUCACGCGCUGAUCGGAGAAUGAGUGACAGUCCCAGCCUCAGCACACUCUCAACUCGGAGAUCCUUGCGCUGGCCCGGGUUCGCUUUGAUGGAACUGGGUGUUGGUGCUGGAAAGGAAAACCAAGGCUUGAUCUCUGGGCCCGCAAAUAUCCCAGGAACUUGAUU
rnacentral:lncRNA from 1 species